rnacentral:rRNA from 1 species
GGAGGAAUAUUGCACAACGGGGGGAACCCAGGUGCAGCAACGCCGCGUGAGUGAAGAAGGCCUUCGGGUUGUAAAACUCUUUUCUGUGGGAUGAGGAAGGACAGUACCACAGGAACAAGUCUCGGCUAACUACGUGCCAGCAGCCGCGGUAAGACGUAGGAGGCGAGCGUUAUCCGGAUUUACUGGGCGUAAAGGGCGAGUAGGCGGUAAAGCAAGUCAGUUGUGACAGAUCCCGGCUCAACUGGGAGAGGACGGCUGAGACUGUUGAACUAGAGGGCAGGAGAGGGGAGCGGAAUUCCUUGUGUAGCGGUGGAAUGCUCAGAUACAAGGAAGAACACCAGUGGCGAAGGCGGCUCUCUGGCCUGAACCUGACGCUGAAGAGCGAAAGCUAGGGGAGCGAACG